rnacentral:rRNA from 1 species
AGUGAACGCUGGCGGCAUGCCUAACACAUGCAAGUCGAACGGCAGCACGGGAGGAUCUUGCUCUUGCGGGUGGCGGGGGGCGGGCGGGUGACAUAUGCAUAGGACUCUUAUUUGUCGGGGGGGAUAACGGAGGGAAAGUGAUACUACUGGCGAAUAUCAUGUACGGGUGGGAGCAGGGGAGAUUCAGGGCUUUGGCGUUUGAAUUAGCCGGUGUCGGAUUAGCUAGUUGGCGGGGUAAAGGCCCACCAAGGCGACGAUCCGUAGCUGGUCUGAGAGGAUGAUCAGCCACACUGGAACUGAGACACGGUCCAGACUCCUACGGGAGGCAGCAGUGGGGAAUCUUGGACAAUGGGCGAAAGCCUGAUCCAGCAAUGCCGCGUGGGUGAAGAAGGCCUUCGGGUUGUAAAGCCCUUUUGUUGGGAAAGAAAAGCUGCGGGAUAAUACCGCGCUGUUCUGACGGUACCCAAAGAAUAAGCACCGGCUAACUACGUG